ACCUUCUUCUUUUUUUUAACACUGCGUUGCCUACUGAUACUGAUAUCUGUUUGAAUAGAGAUAGAAGGCGUUAGAUGAUAAAACUGGUUACUACCGGUUGAGUCUUCGAAUUUUUCGAUCAGGGAAUGUUUAUCUGUAGCGUAGAGAAAGUCCAGUACUUCGUAUUUAAAUUCUAUUGUAUCUAUGCUGAGGAUCGAAUUUGUUCAAUCGAAUUAAAGGGGAGUGACACAGUGAUUUGUAAGCGCAAUUAUGUAAAGCUCACAUUUGCGACUCGCUAUGAAAAUGAUAAAAACGUACGCGUUAUCAGUACAGUAGUAUGCAUGUAGAUAUCAAAGAAAUUUUCAUCUUUUUCCUCCCGUUUCAUAAUACGUGUUGCGAAAUCACUAGAGAUAUAAUUACCCAGAUGCAUCACAUAAAAUUUGCAUGCUAUUGCAACACAUCGAAAUACAUUCGAAAUUUUCGCAAAGGAACAUUGAUCAUAAUUUUUUAGAUACUCGAGACGUAAACAAAUUAGUGUAUAAUCUCGUUGUAACAUUUGAAAAUUCAUUACUUAACAUGUUGCAACCAGGAAACCCUUUCUUCUAAUCAAAGUUCAAUGAUACUGUCAUGAUCAUUGAAAAUCAAGAGAACAGAGUAAGAAGAUUAACUAUAGGAUAAAUCAGGUCUACGCUUGUCGUUUUAAUAAGGAUUAGAUUGUGCAUAUCGUGCAAGGACACGAAAGAGCCACUGACCGUUGCCGAAGGACCAGGUCCAAUAAUCUUAUUUAGCCUCUCCCAGACCUAGGCUGCCUCAUUGUGCCUAGACCAGCAUUCGACACUCGAAGGGUCCGGUAUCGUAGUUAGAAAGGACCUUUUAUCCUUCUCGAGUGAUUAUCCUGGGCGUGCCUAGUGCCUACCUCUCCUGAGACAAGUUCGUAUAUACAUGAACCAAAGAAAUACCCGCAUAUCGGAUUAACUGGGCUUACAGUGUACCACCACUCGAAUUAGUUUACAAGCUUCCAAUACUUCAGCAAGUUUUCCCGACUGAUAGAAGGUUUGCUUAACUCUUAAUCGAGUUUAUAAUCGAUGUACACAGUAAAGUUGUGUGUUCUCCGAGGAGCUUUCGUAAAGCGUCGCUCUGAAAAAUUUCUAAAGUAGCAAGAUCGAGGGUUCGAUCACGAACUUCCUCGAGCUUCUUCGGAAACAAUUUUUCCAACCCUUCGCUGUGGCGACCAUUUAACUAGAACCAUCCUCGCCAGUUAAUCGAAAUGAAAACGCGGGUCUAUGCUUGCCGAGUAACGCGAAUCGUGGCAUCCGGGCAAGGUAAACACCGUCCAAGUUCGAAGCCACAUAGGAAGAAACGCGGUGGAAACUUUGACUUUCCAACUGUGUUCCCGCAAAAAUACGCGAACUUGAUCGAACUGGGACGGAACUUCGUCCGAAUCUAACCGGGAAAACAUUAAUUUUCCAGUUUGCUUCCGUUUCUUAGUUCAAAGAUACCUAGCCUCGCCGCAAAUACUCAGAGCCAAUCGAUGAUCCUCCAGAAAGAUAAGGGACAGAGGAGACUGUUAAUAAAAUGACAUUGACUCAUUGGGAAUGCGACGCGACGGACAAACGAUCGGCUUUUCGUGUUUCGCCGUUUGCAAAUUCGCUCGCUGCAAACGGACAGACAGAGGGGGCUCGGAGCUUUGAAUUAUCCUUCUUCACGGAAGUUUCAGCAAUUUAGAUUAAGAUCAAAAGCCGGCCGGAUAAUGCGUUGAAUAUUUAACGGCGGUAGGACUACUGUUGCGAACAACUGGUUAUAUCUAGCGAGACCUUCUCGAAACAGACUCUCCGUUCGAUUUUAUGGAUUUCUACAAAGAAACGUCCACCACGUUCCGAUCAGUACAACAGUCUUUUUCAUUCAUCAACUCGUUUCCUAACUUAAUCGUUUUUUCAAUGAUUCCUAUACUAUAUAAAUGUAUAAAAACGACAUUAAUAAUUGUAACAUUAAUUGACGAUGAAUAAAAGCAGCAAAGAUUU